rnacentral:rRNA from 1 species
GAUGAACGCUGGCGGCGUGCCUAAUACAUGCAAGUCGAGCGAACGGACGAGAAGCUUGCUUCUCUGAUGUUAGCGGCGGACGGGUGAGUAACACGUGGAUAACCUACCUAUAAGACUGGGAUAACUUCGGGAAACCGGAGAUAAUACCGGAUAAUAUUUUGAACCGCAUGGUUCAAAAGUGAAAGACGGUCUUGCUGUCACUUCUAGAUGGAUCCGCGCUGCAUUAGCUAGUUGGUAAGGUAACGGCUUACCAAGGCAACGAUGCAUAGCCGACCUGAGAGGGUGAUCGGCCACACUGGAACUGAGACACGGUCCAGACUCCUACGGGAGGCAGCAGUAGGGAAUCUUCCGCAAUGGGCGAAAGCCUGACGGAGCAACGCCGCGUGAGUGAUGAAGGUCUUCGGAUCGUAAAACUCUGUUAUUAGGGAAGAACAUCUGUGUAAGUAACUGUGCACAUCUUGACGGUACCUAAUCAGAAAGCCACGGCUAACUACGUG